GAUUUAGUCACCUAUGAUGGCCUGCAUGUGAACUUCACUCAGGAAGAGUGGGCUUUACUGGAUCCUUCUCAGAUGAAUCUCUACAAAGAUGUGAUGCUAGAGGCCUAUAGGAAUCUCUCAGCUAUAGGUUACAUUUGGGAAGGACAUACAAGUGAAGACUAUUUUCAAACUUCUAGAAGUCAUGGAAGGCAUGAAAGAAAUUGUACUGCAGUGCAACCCUCUGAGUUUAUUCAAUGUGGUAAAGCCUUUGCAUAUCAGAGUCUUAGACAAAGGCAUGAAAGAACACAUAAUGGAGAGAAAGACUAUUGCUGUAACCAAUGUGGUAAAAACUUUAUAAUAAGCAGUCAUCUCCAAAUACAUAAACGAAGAAAUACAGGAGAGAAACCCUAUGAAUGUAACCAAUGUGGUAAAGCCUUUGCAGGAAGUGGUGACUUCCAAAAACAUAAACGAAGACAAAGAGGAGAGAAAACCUAUGAAUGUAACCAAUGUGGUAAAACCUUUGCUGUAAGAAGUGACCUCCAAAUACAUAAGCGAACACAUACAGGAGAGAAACCCUAUGAUUGUAAACAGUGUGGUAAAGCUUUUAUAAGAAGGGGAGACCUCCAAAUACAUAAGCGAAUACAUAGAGAAGAGAAACCCUAUGAAUGUAACCACUAUGGUAAAGCCUUUGUAAUAAGCUGUCAUCUCCGAAUACAUAAGGGAACACAUACAGGAGAUAAACCCUAUGAAUGUAACCAAUGUGGUAAAGCUUUUAUAAGAAGUGCGGACCUCCAAAUACAUAUGCGAAUACAUACAGGAGCGAAACCCUAUGAAUGUAAACAAUGUGGUAAAGCCUUUACAAAAAGCAGUAAUCUCCAAAUACAUGAGCGAACACAUACAGGAGAGAAAGCCUAUGAAUGUAACCAAUGUGGUAAAACUUUUAUAAGAAGUGGUCACCUCCGAAUACAUAAGCGAACACAUACAGGAGAGAAACCCUAUGAAUGUAACCAAUGUGGUAAAGCUUGUAUACAUAGUGGUAACCUCAAAAGACAUGAAAGAACACAUACAGGAGAGAAACUCAAUGAAGGCAUCUAA
rnacentral:lncRNA from 1 species